rnacentral:rRNA from 1 species
UACGAAGGGGGCUAGCGUUGCUCGGAAUUACUGGGCGUAAAGGGAGCGUAGGCGGGUUAUCAAGUUGGGGGUGAAAGCCCGGGGCUCAACCUCGGAAUUGCCUUCAAAACUGGUAGCCUAGAGUAUGAUAGAGGUAUGUGGAACUCCGAGUGUAGAGGUGAAAUUCGUAGAUAUUCGGAAGAACACCAGUAGCGAAGGCGACACUCUGGGCCGGUACUGACGCUGAGGAGCGAAAGCGUGGGGAGCAAACAGG